UUUAUACCUUAUUUAACUUGUUUCUGAAACGAAAUCUAUUUGAGUACAAUCUGCAGCAAAUUCCAGCUGAUGCAGUAAAUUAAGUUAUCUUACGUCUGCUCCACGCAUUCUGUAGUGUAUUGUCAGUCGUGACGGCACGAAACGUCAUUAUACGCGAGGGAAUAUACCAAUGUAUUCAAACUGUGUCGCCACAUAUCAUACAUACACUUGACAGCAGUGACACGUAUGGCAACUUCCCAUCUGUGAGGUUGACGAAGGAAUAUCAGCAGGCACACACGGUAAUACACCGUCACCAUUAAACAUCCACAAGUUACACACAUCAAAACAGAUAUAAGAUCGGCUGAAAGAUAUUUCCCUUCGAAGCGAUGAUAAACGUCUACGAGAUUGCACACUAUCAUAACCCCGAUGAUCACAAAUGCUAAAUUUCACCACUGUGAAAACAUCAAAUGUCAUAUCGGUACUAAAUCUCGUCUCAGAAUCAUGUAUGAGAAAUUCACGAUUGUAUUUUUUAUAGUAAUGCUGUUAUGGAUUAAAUUUGUAGA